rnacentral:tRNA from 1 species
AUUUAAAUAAUUUAAAUAAAAAUAUUGAUUUGUGGAAUCAAAAAUAUGGAUAUAUUUCAUUUUAAAUC